AUUGAACGCUGGCGGCAGGCCUAACACAUGCAAGUCGAACGAGUGGCGGACGGGUGAGUAAUGUCUGGGAAACUGCCUGAUGGAGGGGGAUAACUACUGGAAACGGUAGCUAAUACCGCAUACCAUCAGAUGUGCCCAGAUGGGAUUAGCUUGUUGGUGGGGUAACGGCUCACAAAGGCGACGAUCCCUAGCUGGGCUGAGAGGAUGACCGGCAAAACUGGAACUGAGACACGGUCCAGACGCCUACGGGAGGCAGCAGUGGGGAAUAUUGAACAAUGGGCGAAAGACUGAUGCAGCCAUGCCGCGUGUAUGAAGAAGGCUUUCGGGUUGUAAAGUAAUUUCAGCGGGGAGGCGUUACCCGCAGAAGAAGCACCGGCUAACUCCGUGCCAGCAGCCGCGGUAAUUC
rnacentral:rRNA from 1 species